AAUGGCGCCAUCUUUUUUACGGGAAAUGUGAGUUUCGAAGGAAGUCACCGGAGCCAUCCUUACUGCGGGCAGUGAAGGGCAAUGGAAGCCAGUCGCGGCCAUGUUGACUGAGGCUUUUCUUCUGUCGGCUUCCUGGGAUGGUUCGGCUGUAGAGAUAGAUUAACCCACGAAUAAUGUACCAGCGUGGACCAUUCUUCCAGCUUUCCAGUAGGGAUGCAGCCAACAACUGUAACAUCACCUGUGUCACUGAUAAGGAGCCAAGCAGGAGGAUUGGAGCCAGAAAAGGAGACGUGAUGAUGGAAACAGAGGUCAGAGUGAAGUGGGGCCAUGAACCAAGGAACACAGGUGGCCUCUAGAAGCUGCAAAAGGCAAGAAAACAAUUUUCCACUAGAGCCUCCAGUAGGAAUGCAGCCCUGCUGACCCAUUUGAAACAUCUGACCUCCAGAACUGUAAGAUAAAUUUGUAGUUUUUUGUUGUUUGUGUGUGUGUGUGUGUGUGUUUAUGAGAUGGAGUCUCACUCUGUCGCCCAGGCUGGAGUGCAGUGGCACGAUCUUGGCUCACUGCAACCUCCGCCUCCCGGGUUCAAGCAAUCCUCCUGCCUCAGCCUCCCAAGUAGCUGGAACUACAGGCAGGCAUCACUAUGCCCAGCUAAUUUUUGUAUUUUUAGUAGAGACAAGGUUUCACCAUGUUGGCCAGAAUGGUCUUGAUCUCCUGACCUUGUGAUCUGCCUGCCUCGGCCUCCCAAAGUGCUGGGAUUACAGGCAUGAGCCACUGCACCUGGCCAAAUCUGUGUUGUUUUAAGUCACUAAGCUUGUGGUAAUUUGUCACAGCAGCAAUAGGAAACGAAUACAGAAAAGUGGUCAGGAAUAAGAAUUGCUACCACAUAAUAAUAUUUCCUAUGAGACAGCACUAAGCACUUUAAGAAUCUCAGGUCAGGCACGGUCACAUCUGUAAUCCCAGCACUUUGGGAGGUUGAGGUGGGAAGCUCACUUGAGCUGAGGAGUUUGGGACCGGCCUGGGGAACAUAGUGAGACUCCAUUGCAUUAAAAAAAUACAAAAAUUAGCAGGGCAUGGUGGUGUGCACCUGUAAUCCCAGCUACUUGGGAGGCUGAGGUGGGAGGAUCCCUCAAUAACAGGAGUUUGAAUCUGAAAUGAGCCAUGAUUGCACCACUACACUCCAGCCUGAGCAACAGAGCAAGACCCUAUCUUAAAAAAAAAAAAAAUUAAAAGAAAAAAAGCAUCUUAAUUGCUUUAAUCCUUACACUGACUAUAGUUAUAUAUGCUGUGUAGCCUUGAACUCAUCUUGCCGUUUUGAAUGUCCAUUUAUACUUCCUCUGUGCUAUAGCUACAUGAUAAAAAGCUUUUAAUUAAUUUUAUUAUUGCAGUUUCACUAAGCAAAUAAACAGUUCUCCUGUGGAAAAACAUCUGAUGCCAAAAGCUUCCCUUCCUGCCAAUAAAAGAGUGAAGGCCGAUGCAGUUUCACUUGAAGCAGGUUGAAUAAAAACUGGACUCGGCCCCUUUAAGUCCGGCUGAUGACAAAUGGGUGCUUUUUAUCUUUUGCUGUUGCUCUGGCUCAGUACAGCCAUUUAAUUAUUCAUAGGAAGGCUCUUUGGUAUUUUCACUGUAGAAGUCACAUCUAAGACUUAAAUCUUACUUCCACCAACUCCAGUGAUGCAGUUUCCAGACUAAUGAAAACGUCAGUGCUGUGACGUUUCCGGAACCCAUUCUCUUAUAGACUUGGGCUUUCCAUUGUUGGAGCAUAAAGUUCCUCACUCACCAAAGCAGCAUCAGCAGGAAAAUCCACCAGACACUUCAAGCUAGUGAUUACACUGAUGUGAAUAUAAACUUACCACGAAUAUAACAAUGAAAGUUUUUGUAUCCUUGGAAAAAUCCUGGAGUGUGGAGAAAGCAUCUCAAUUACCUCGCAGAAAAUUCUGAACACAUAGAAGAUAUUUGCACUUAUUGAAUGGCAUGACAAGGUGACUGUAUACGUUAAUACAUGGAUAAAUAAAGUUCAUAUCUUUUCACUGU